UACGUAGGGGGCGAGCGUUGUCCGGAAUUAUUGGGCGUAAAGAGCGUGUAGGCGGCUAGAUAGGUCCGUUGUGAAAACUCGAGGCUCAACCUCGAGACGUCGAUGGAAACCAUCUGGCUAGAGUCCGGAAGAGGAGAGUGGAAUUCCUGGUGUAGCGGUGAAAUGCGCAGAUAUCAGGAAGAACACCCGUGGCGAAGGCGGCUCUCUGGUACGUGACUGACGCUGAGACGCGAAAGCGUGGGGAGCAAACAGG
rnacentral:rRNA from 1 species